GUCGAUAGAGUUUGAUCCUGGCUCAGAUGUGAACGCUGGCGGCAUGCUUUACACAUGCAAGUCGAACGGUAACAGGGUGCUUGCACCGCUGACGAGUGGCGAACGGGUGAGUAAUGCGUCGGAACGUGCCGAGUAAUGGGGGAUAACGCAUCGAAAGGUGUGCUAAUACCGCAUACGCUCUGAGGAGGAAAGCUGGGGAUCGAAAGACCUGGCGUUAUUCGAGCGGCCGACGUCUGAUUAGCUAGUUGGUGAGGUAAAGGCUCACCAAGGCGACGAUCAGUAGCGGGUCUGAGAGGAUGAUCCGCCACACUGGGACUGAGACACGGCCCAGACUCCUACGGGAGGCAGCAGUGGGGAAUUUUGGACAAUGGGGGCAACCCUGAUCCAGCCAUGCCGCGUGUCUGAAGAAGGCCUUCGGGUUGUAAAGGACUUUUGUUAGGGAGCAAGUUCUGCAGGUUAAGAGCUAGUAGGGAUGAGAGUACCUAAAGAAUAAGCACCGGCUAACUACGUGCCAGCAGCCGCGGUAAUACGUANGGUGCAAGCGUUAAUCGGAAUACUGGGCGUAAAGGGUGCGCAGGCGGUAUUGUAAGCCAGAUGUGAAAUCCCGGGGCUCACCCUGGGAACUGCGUUGGAACUGCAAUGCUAGAGUGUGUAGANGGGGGUGAAAUCCACGUUGCAGUGAANGCGUAAGAUUGAGGACCCGAUGCAAGGACCCCCUGGAUUCCUACCNAGCGAAGCUUGACACAGAUANCUGUUCACCCUCAACCACCACGACCGUUUG
rnacentral:rRNA from 1 species